GCCGGGCGAGCUCUCGCGAGGAAGACGGGCAGGCGGCCCAACUAGGCCAGGGGCCAGAACCGACCACUCGAAGAGGGAGAAGGAGGGCCUCGGAUAGGCCCCGCCCCCGCUCCUUCUUCCGCCUGGGGGAUAGCGCCUCUAGCCUUGAACCUUGCUUAGGACGCACCUCCCUUGGGCCCUUCGCUCUCGGGAGGGCUGUCGGGCGCGUCUCGGGGCUGGGUGGAGCUCCCGAAGGUGGCCUUUCUCCCUGGGCUUCCACGCCGGCUUCGGCCAUCGAUACGGGCCGUGUUGGUCUCGUUCAGGAGCUGAGGAACCCUCCAUCACUCCUGUUUCGACCCCAGGGUUUGGACCUCUUCCCCUUCCACCCCAUCCCCUGUCUCGAAAGAAGCAACCCCCGUGCGGGCCCGAGACGCGUCCCGGGUGCCUGGCCCGGCCUGGAGAAGCAUCAGAACAAAGAAGGCACGCGGGCUGGGGGCUGGGAGAGCCUGUGACGCGCCCCCGGGGACCGCAGCCUCUGCUCCCGGUCUCC
rnacentral:lncRNA from 1 species